rnacentral:rRNA from 1 species
AACGAACGCUGGCGGCAUGCCUAACACAUGCAAGUCGAACGAGACCUUCGGGUCUAUUGGCGCACGGGUGCGUAACGCGUGGGAACCUUCCCUUAGGUUCGGAAUAACUCCCCGAAAGGGGUGCUAAUACCGGAUAAUGUCUUCUGACCAAUAAUUUAUCGCCUUUGGAUGUGCCCGCGUUGGAUUAGCUAGUUGUUAGGGUAAAAGCAUACCAAGGCGACGAUCCAUAGCUGGUCUGAGAGGAUGAUCAGCCACACUGGGACUGAGACACGGCCCAGAAUCCUACGGGAGGCAGCAGUGGGGAAUAGUGGACAAUGGGCGAAAGCAUGAUCCAGCAAUGACGCGUGAGUGAUGAAGGCAUGAGGGUUGUAAAGCUCUUGUAACCGGGAUGAUAAUGACAGUACCGGGAGAAUAAGCUACGGCUAACUCCGUG